GGUCAAGCAAUGGGGGAAGCUCCAUUACCAUGGUGAGGUCUCGGGGGCUGGUUUCUUCAUCCCGUCUGAGCUCUUCCACUUCAUGCUCUGGCUUUGGCCUUUCUGAAGAGCAAGGGGGACACAGGAGAGUCAAUGGGAUAUAGGGGAUCAAUGGGACACAGGAGAGUUCAAUGGGAUACGCAAGAGUCAAUGGGACACAGGAGAGCCAAUGGGAUACAGGAGAGUCAAUGGGACACAGGGGAGUCAAUGGGAGACAAGGGAGACAAUGGGACACAGGGGAGUCAAUGGGACACAGGGGAGUCAGUGGGACACAGGGGAGUCAGUGGGACACAGGAGAGUCAAUGGGAUACAGGGGAGUCAAUGGGACACAGGGGAGUCAAUGGGACACAGGGGAGUCAAUGGGAUACAGGGGAGUCAAUGGGACACAGGGGAG